AGCCAGACUCCUACGGGAGGCAGCAGUGGGGAAUAUUGCACAAUGGGGGAAACCCUGAUGCAGCGACGCCGCGUGAGUGAAGAAGUAUUUCGGUAUGUAAAGCUCUAUCAGCAGGGAAGAAAAUGACGGUACCUGACUAAGAAGCCCCGGCUAACUACGUGCCAGCAGCCGCGGUAAUACGUAGGGGGCAAGCGUUAUCCGGAUUUACUGGGUGUAAAGGGAGCGUAGACGGCAUGGCAAGUCAGAUGUGAAAGCCCGGGGCUCAACCCCGGGACUGCAUUUGAAACUGUCAGGCUGGAGUGCAGGAGAGGUAAGUGGAAUUCCUAGUGUAGCGGUGAAAUGCGUAGAUAUUAGGAGGAACACCAGUGGCGAAGGCGGCUUACUGGACUGUAACUGACGUUGAGGCUCGAAAGCGUGGGGAGCAAACAGGAUUAGAUACCCCGGUA
rnacentral:rRNA from 1 species